GCGGUUGUAGCUCAGUCGGUUAGAGUACCGGCCUGUCACGCCGGGGGUCGCGGGUUCGAGCCCCGUCAACCGCG
rfam:Ketogulonicigenium vulgare Y25, complete genome.